AAUACAAUUAUUUUUCACUCGUUAACAAACAAUCGUAGUUAAUUGUUGUUUCUGUCAUUUCGCAACGCGCAACAAUUAUAAAUCGAUACAUUCGAUUAUACAUUCGAUGAUCGUUUACCAACAACCUGAACUGGAAAUUCGAGAGAAUCGGAAAGUACAUAUUCGACCGGUAUCGGGGGAGGUUUCGAUAUUUUCAUUGGAUACGAAAUCUCGAAAGUCGAUUCGAUACACUACACGUUCGUACACACGGUCUAACUUCGAAUCGGUUUAGCGAAAAUCGGAAAUGUUUGUACGUUACUAAUAGUUCAAAUUGAUAAAUUUGCAAAUUUAUCAAGGCCUCGUCCAAAGUUUGCCAUCUUUCCUCGUGAAAAUUUUGACGGUUUAGGGGUACGCAUACUAUCGUGUACAAUUUUACAACCAAUAAUCGACAUUUAUAUUAACAAACCGAAAGCAGAAAGAUUAGAACCAAGGAGAAAUACUCGUGACUAGAUGUAUCAGUGGCGUGAUAGGUGAAAGGUUCAAUGAAUGUUGGCAGCUCCCUCUCGAGAUAUAUCGAGAAUCCCUUUUUUUUCAACUAAUCGAAAAGGUUCGAUUCGAGAAUUCAUCUUCGGUUUUAUUCCAGAUUACGAACAGCGAAAGAUUUUCAACAGAAAUUUCGUAGAAUCGGUGAUUUCUUAAUUCAUGAAAAUCAGUAACAAUAUUCGAACAUCGAGAAAAAUUCUCUUUCUCCGCAAGUUUAUUAGCAUGUUAGAAUCGAAACAUCACGUUCUAGGAUUCAAUUUGUCUAUACAGCUUAUAAUACGAAAUAAUGACAGGAAGAGGUAUAUAAACACAUGUAUUUAAUUCGUCGAUUCAGAAAAAAAAGAAAGAAAAACCACCUACCAUGUACCAAAGAUAAAACGGUACAGACUGGCACCGAUUAAAUCUUAACGGAAUCUAGCUAGAAUCGCUUAUCUAGCAGGUAUAUAUCUAGCUGCCGUAUAUGAGCAUCCUUUCAAGGAUAACAUCGACAGGAUGUUUAAGCCUUUCUCGUUCGAUGACGUAUCCUCAAUAAUAUUGGCUUUCAACUACAGAAGCACAAGGACGGCAUCUGAAUCCGUACGAAACAAUGUUCCGGAAUUCGAAUAGAAUCGUAGCCAAGAUGAACCGUAUCAUCAGAGGCCGAAAUUGGCAACAGUUUGCGACGAACGGUGUAAAACAAAUUGAAAAAAAAAAAACGGAAAAGAAAACGCGAAGAUAAAUGCAAGAAAAAAAAGUAUAAACAUCUUCGUUUCAUAUCAACGCACGCGCUUCGAAGGUAUUUUAAUAUUUCUCGUCACGAAUUACAGAGAAACGUGUCCUCGGUAAGAAAACAGAUGGUCCUUUGGAGACAACCAUUCGGACGACCGUCAUCGGAGGUUGCGAAUUUUCUCAUCUGUCUGUGGCCGCGCAUCAUGAACGGAGGUGCGCUGUGUCGCCAGCAAGAGAAACGGAGAAAGACAACGAACGAGUCAGAGUGAGACGCAUCGAGAAAAGAGAAGAACGGGGAGACAGAGAUGGAGUGCACCGUUCGUACCAGGCGGUGCGCCCUGGUACCAACGGCACGCCGUGUCGGUAGACUCGGCCAGACUUAUGUUAGCGAGACGCAAUCAGGAGUCACGGAGAGUCACGGAGAGUCAUGGAGAGUCACGGAGAGUCGCGGAGAGUCUAGGAGGGGAAUAAGCCAGAGAGAAGUGCGCUCGCCUACCUUCGUUUCUCGCCGCAAUCUUUUUUGUACGAUCCUCUCGCGACCUUCUCUAGCCAACAGACUCGAUAGAUACUCUCCUUAUGAGAAAAUCUUCACUCUCUUCGAGCUCGACACGAGGUCGAAUGAAUCAUCAGCGACAUAAACCGAGAAUCUGAAAGAGAAAGAUCGAACGUUGUUCUAUCGAGACUUCCAUCUUAAAAAGAACUCGCGAAGCGAUCCACAAUGUUGACUCGACGAAGAAAAAAGGCUAAAAGGCAUAACGAUGUAUCCGAACAGGCCGUAAUUCGUGUCCAAGAUGGAAUCGAAGAAUCUUUAAUGUCGUGUAACGGGUGACCGAUAAAUGCAACCUUGUCCCGAUUCUGCCUGACCAAUGUAGAUUCUCCCGAUGAAAGAACGAUGACCCGAAAACUUUGUCUCGUCGAACAUCAAAACGAGAAUUUAAGAAAUCUCGGUUCCAAAAGACCGAUGACUGAAGCUGGUAUCGCGACAUACAAAGCGUGCUGGAGGACAUAGAAACAAAGAAAUAACAACUGCGAGAAAGAGAAGAAAAGAGGAGAAAAGUAUAGAGAAGGCAGAAGGAGAACGUAGAAUCGGGGAUGCAUGGUCCCGCUAUCCGGUCGGCCGCUAAGCCGAGGUCAAUGAACCUCGGCCCGCCUACCGACUUUACCUGCCAGCCUCGAACCUGCCAACCUGGCUAACUCGCUCCACUCCAAAGGAAGAAAAAUAUGACUUUCGAACGAUAAAAAGAGUUUUAGGACAAAACGCCGACUACAUUUUAUUCGAGUCAUUCAUAUUAGAAAUUUGAUCGCAGAACGCGAAGAAGAAGACGAUUUUAUAAGACGAUAUCGAAGACAAACUAUGAAUUCUCCAUAAACCGCUGAACUUGAUCUACUGUGAUACGGCGAACCUUUCACGAGUUCAGAGAAGUCCAUCGACCUUGAACUGGAGGGAUACAGGAAAAAACAUCUUUAAAACAAACAAGAUCUCGAUACUCGAAACUUUUGCCUCUUACACAAGCAAUAUUUCAAACGCGGAAUAGAAUUAUUUUUAUAAUUUCUCUUCUAACGCGUUCAAAUAAUUGCACAGACGAAUCUAAUCGCGGCUUAGCUAUGGAUUAAAUUCUUUAAUCUUUAUGCUAAUCAGCUAUCCAUAUUUACAGACACAACUUGGCAACUACUGCCGACAAUAACAGUUUAUGAUCCGUUCGCGUAAACUCGUCGAACAAGAAUGAGUUAAUUCUUGGUUUUCAACUUCGAUAUCGCUUCCAUUCAAUAGUUUCAUUUCGCAAACGUUUUAUGUGUUUACAGAAUCCUUAUGCGAUCUAGUGGCUGAACAGAACGCUUUGAAACGUAAAAUUGUCGUUAUUCGUCUAAGAAAAUUGAUAUUCGACAGUGGGAAUAUGGAUUAAACAAUUCCAUCGACUUGGCCAAGCGAAAAGUUCCGAUACGCGUGGUCUUCUUCAUUUUUUUCCUCGAGGUCAAAGGAAACGAUGUUUCCUGAAUACACAAGAGGGAUAGCGGUAAAUCGAUGGAAAAUUAAACUCGUGAUCGUGGGGAAAGGUUAAUGAAAUCAUUCGGAAUCUGUUCAUUAAAAUUUCGAACAGUAAUUCCAGGUUAUUAUUGCAAAAGCGAGUAACGAGGCUGGUAGAUCCUCCUGUACGGUGCAUGUGCAGUUAUUAGUACGAGAAAAAGAAGUGGCACGAAUCAGUGGGUCGAUGAAACCCAAGAACCUUGCACUCAACAGUUGCCUGAGUUUGUAAGCUGAUUCCUUAUUUCUUCUUCCAAAGAAGGAGAAAGUUCUUCUUCUGUUGAUUAACAGGGAGACAACUUGAAUGCGUACACUUGAAAUUUUCAUACCUGCUUUUUUUCUUUUUACGGUUAAGCAACAGUAACGUAACGAUGAAAACUUCGAUAAAAUCCUAUCUGGAACGUGGAAGAAGCACAGGGAAUAGGAAUCAUCGAGAAUUCGGAGCAUUCUGUUGAUCAUGUUUACUACAAGUUCGAAAAACCGGUUUUCCUCUCACCAUAAAACUUGGACCUGUGGAUGGUGCAUUAGACGCUCCGUGUUACGGUAGCUCUCGAUCGUAUCGAUCAUUUCAUUAUUUCCAAUCGAACAUUGGAUCUAACAGUAAGUAUAUUUAAAAAGUUUUUAUUCUUCGUUACAAUAUUAAUUAAAAGAAGAAAAAAGAAAACAAAUCCAAAUGGUAACUUUAAGUGUAAAAUGAAAUGAUGUCAUUCGAAUUCUUCGCAAUAAAUCAUCGAGGAAUUAAAACAAUUCGAUCGCUUACCUACUUUUUUCACGUUACUUCUGCGCUGAUUAAAAUUUCUUUUCUUCUUUCAAUGUACAUUUACAUGUAAAGUGCGUAUGCAUAUACGUACAUGAUUUGAUUAAUCGUCGAAAAAUGGCUAUUUUUACAACAGACUAGUAUGCAGGUGUUGUAUAUUUCGCUUCGGUCGAUCGAGCCAAACCGUUCCUGUAUCCACGACAUAAUGAUCAAUUCAGGUAAAUAACUGCAUUGUGUCCGUGCAAGAAAGAUGAACGGUAAUUCGUUCACUGCUAAAUUUAACUUCCCGUACUCGGAAAGGUCAACACUUUACAUUUUACAGAAGUUCACCUUCGAAUCUCGAGGUCAAUGUUUAUUGUCUUCUUUUUCCCUCGUGCAUCGCUUAAUGUUCUUACUUAAAAUAAAUAAGAACAGGACAUUUUUCCCAUCGCAAAAGUCUGCUUGUUCGUAUUCAAAAUUUAUGCGACUAUUUUACAUGAGCUAAGACGGUAUAAAAAAAUAAACAUAAUCAAUUGAAUUUUGUCAAAAAGUCUAUACUGUCCAUUAACUUUCGACUCCUGGUGACUUUUAGAGCGCUAAGUAUUAAGAUCUCUCUAGUUGUAUAAAAGAAAAGUCGGGCGACAGCGUGUGUAACGGUAAAUUCAACUUGAUUCGUUAACUGCAUUCCCAUGCGAGGUGGGAUUUUUGAAAAGUCGGACGUUCGACGAAAACCACGCGAUAAGUCGCACACCUAGCGGGAAGCGGAGAAAGCAGCACCCAGCGGAUGAAAAACCGACCACGAUCUCAACGUAACUUGGCGUUUUUAACAGCAAAACAGUCGUUAGAAUUUACAAACCCCAAGAAAACUAGUCGAUAUUAUUGACAGAAGGAUACAGGUAUACAAUGGAGUAAAUUCGAUCGUUCGAAAGCUUGAAUAUUCGGAACAUUUCUAAACGCGCAGCUCGUUCAAACGCGGGGCUCCCCUUUUAAGCGUGGGAUCUGGCAAAAGGCGGCACGUUUUCGACCGGAGAAUGAUAAAGGCCUUGAAAGGGUUCACCAAAGUAAUUUCCACGAGUUUUUUCUAUAUCGCAACAUUUCACGAUUUUCUCGCAUAACAAUGCGAGCUAUGUCGAACGAAAAAAUCGUGUACCUAAGAAUACACCUGCAUUCGAAGAAAGAGGAAAAGAGAAUCAAUUGUCCUUAGUUCACGAAAGCAAACAAAUUUCUAUUCAUCCGUUUGAACAAAGGCAAGUGAGAGUACACAUCUAACUUUACAGAAUUAGUAAUUAACUUGAAUGUACACGAAGCAGUGGAAUUAACAAACGUUCAGCAUUUCUUAUUACAGUAUUGUUCUGUUGUUCGGCGAAAGGGAAAUAACACACAGGGCUGUAAUCAAUUGUUUUUCAUCUAAAGCAGGUACAUACAUAUACUUUCCUACGAUGUACACAUUUUACAGGAACAUGCAAUCGUAACAUUUAACUAUCGAACGAUUCGAUAUUUGAUAAAUUAAUAUCGAAAAUCAUUGAUUCUCUUGCGCGUAAACCUGAAUUCCCUUACCUAAUCUGAUGGCGGCAACCUGUGCAAUCCCGACUAACACUAGUAUCAGCGGAAAUCCGUCGAGGAGCGAGUACAAAG
rnacentral:lncRNA from 1 species